rnacentral:tRNA from 1 species
ACUUAAGUAGUUUAAUAAAAAUUAUGAUUUGUGGUGUCAUAGAUAUAAUAAAAUUUAUCUUAGGUU